UCCAGACUCCUACGGGAGGCAGCAGUGGGGAAUAUUGGGCAAUGGGCGCAAGCCUGACCCAGCAACGCCGCGUGAAGGAAGAAGGCCCUCGGGUUGUAAACCUCUUUUAUCAGGGACGAAACAAAUGACGGUACCUGAUGAAUAAGCCACAGCUAACUACGUGCCAGCAGCCGCGGUAAUACGGAGGGUGCGAGCGUUAAUCGGAAUUACUGGGCGUAAAGCGCUCGUAGGCGGUAUGUCAAGUCAAGGGUGAAAUCCCCGCGCUCAACGUGGGAACUGCCUUUGAAACUGGCAAACUGGAGUGUGUGAGAGGAUAGUGGAAUUCCAGGUGUAGGAGUGAAAUCCGUAGAUAUCUGGAGGAACAUCAGUGGCGAAGGCGACUAUCUGGCACAUAACUGACGCUGAGGAGCGAAAGCGUGGGUAGCAAACAGGAUUAGAUACCCCAGUA
rnacentral:rRNA from 1 species